rnacentral:tRNA from 1 species
GGGCUCAUAGUUUAAAGUAGAAUAAUGGUUUUGUAGACCUUUGGUGCGUGGUAAGCUGGGUUCA